UUUUUUUUUUUUGGCGAAGGAAUAGGAGCUUGGAUGAUUACAACAGGCAAAAUGCUAACCUUUGAGACAGGGACGUGAGGCAAAACACUGCAGCCAGUAUCUACAAACGCCUUUAAGAAGAUCUGAAAGUGAAGUGAAGCUUGGCCAUGUGAUAUUAUGCUGGGCCAUGCUAUAAUAUGCUGGGCCAUGCUAUAUGAAGCUAGGCCAUGUAAUAAUAUGCUGGGCCAUGGUAUAAUAUGCUGGGCCAUGCUAUAUGAAGCUAGGCCGUGUAAUAAUAUGCUGGGCCAUGCUAUAAUAUGCUGGGCCAUGCUAUAAUAUGCUGGGCCAUACUCUAUUAUGCUGGGCUGCAAACUGCUGUCUGGUCAGAUAAAUCUCUGUUCCCGCUCAACAGGUGCAGUAGGGAUAUGCAGGAGACAGUGAAGAGGCCUGUGGGGACACCAGCUCAAAUGAGUCAAAACAUCAUGGGACCUGAUCCUGCGGUUAAACUCCCUAAAUAAGUUUAUUUCAAAAGCUGAGAGACCUGAGAAAGUGAAAGUGACCAGCUGCAAACCAGGAAUCCGACUAAAAGGCUUUAGGGAGCCAGAACACCACCUUGAGGCACAGAUGCAAAAGUCAGUGUUUACUGUGUUAAGAACAGCA